GUUUUCUCAGCUAGUCUGGGAACCAGGAAGCCCCAGUGAUCCUCCUGCCUCUGAUCCCCUCAGAGCUGGGUCACAGGUGUAUACAGAAUUCCCAAGUUACCAUGUGAAUGUUGGGAUCUGAACUCUGGUCUUCCUGAUUGCUCAGAGUGUCCUCUCUAAGCCAUCUCACCAGCUUUCUGUAACCCUGACCCUCUCUGUUUGACACAGGUGUCCUGUAUCCCUGGCUGGCCUUGAGCUCACUAACUUGCUGGGGAUGACCUUGGACUUCACCUGUCUCUAUCUCCCAAAUGCUGGGAUCACAGAGAAGUGAGCAAGCCAUCCUGUGUUCUGCGCUGAAGCUACGAGCUGCUCCCACUGACGCCAUGAACUGGGAGCCCACACAAUGGUUCCUUCUUCCAGAUGUUUCUGUCAGGCAUUUUGUCAUAGAAACAGCUGAGGAGUUGCCGUGGUCAUGGUGUCCUUUCACAGGAAUGGAAAACCAAGACACCCAGACAAGAAGAGGCUCUGCAGCAGGCCCAGGAUGCUGUGCAACUUUCUUAGCUGUAUGAGUGUCUCUGAGCAGCAGCGUCACGGUGUGCAAGGUGCCUGCGGGAGGUAGGAAGUUCUGUGGGGGCUGUUCCGGCUCCUUCAGGGACUUCACAGCCCAUCACCUUGGUCUAUGGAGCUGAGCCCUGCCAUCCUCCAUGGAUACUUCCUCAGAUCCUGAAUUGCCCCUAGGCUUUACAGAACAUGUGGCCAUGUGACACCAACUGGCCACAUGACCUGAACUGUCCCUUAUAAAUGAGCUAUGAAAUGUCCCGUGAUUUGAUGGGUUGGGGGACACAGAUGUGUUUCAGCAUUUAGUGGAGGCAGUGGGUGCAGGGCAGACCUGAUAACUACCAACUCUAUGUUAGCCACUUCACUCAUUCCUGAAAAAAAUAUUUCACAAAAGCCACCAAAAGAAGAAAAGGUUCAUUUGGACUCACUGUCUGAGGGGACAGUUCAUCAUGGUGAGGAAGGCACUGUGGCAGGAGCGUGAGGCAGCUCGCAAGGCUGCACACACAGUUGCGAAGCAGAUUGGGAUGAAUGCUGGUGCUCAGCUUGUUUGCUUUUUAUCCAUCCCGAUAACCAGUCUAUGAGAUGGUGCCGCCUACAUUUAGAGUGAGCCUCGGCGCCUCAGCUAACUCAAUCUAGAAAAUCCCCAACAGUCAUGCCCUAAGGUUUGUUUCCAUGGUGAUUCUAAAUCCCAUUAGGUUGACAAUCAAGGUUGACCAUUGCAAACUUUAAAGCUCCAGGGAGUUCCAUAAAGAGCUCCCAUGAUGCCAGUGUCUUGUUCCUGCUUCUUUGGCAGCCCCUCCCAGCAGCACCGGUUCUUCAUAUGUAAUUUCCUGGUACCUAGUCACUGAGAAAGAAAAAGUCUUGCCUCGGCUUCCAGUAACUUUGCAUGGCACGUCAGUCCAAUCCCAAAGUGAGAGGGUGACCUGCAGCCCCCUGUCAGGAAUGGGAGGAAGGCUACAUCCCAGCAGGCGAGGCCUGGCACAGUCACUCCGGUGACUUCUAAGUCACACUUGACCUAGAAGGAGAGAUAAAGUUUGUAGGUUCCACCAUUCGGUGGCCAAUCAGUUAUGAUGAUGAAAGAAUUGAAAGGCAAACAUUUGAAAAAGUUGGUAGCAGGAGGUUGAGGAAAGGGCUGGACCUCUCCCAGGGUCUCCUGGGGUGCAGAGCACAGGAUGUGAAGAGACAUAUGUCCCUCUAUAGACGUUGGCCACAGAAAAAACCCCUGGGCUGAAUGGAGGUCCAUGGUGGAUGAGAGGACCUAGUCAGUGACCGCCAGCCAGCCUUGGAUGUCCCUGUCAUUCCCAAAAGGGUUUGAGAAUGGUAUGGAACAGUACGUGGGUGUCCAUUCAUUGAGAUCCCUCUGCUAGGUCCACUAUCUGACACACUGCGGGGUGAUGUUGGAGUACUGCCAUCAUGGGGGUACCCCUCUGCUGCCACUGGCACCAAGGCAAACCUGAGUAUGAACUGGCCCUCUGACCCAAGGUACCUUCACAGCCUGCUUGACUCCCUGCUGUUUAUCACAGGGCUUCCUUCUGGACAGGGCCAUAAAGCAGAGAGUGUAAGCUCAGGGAACCGCCAUCCUUCACAGGCUCCCCUUCCCUGGUCUGAGGACACUGAGGAGCCGGAACAAUAUCCUCUGAACUCGGAUGAUCCAUGUACCUAUGUUCCUGUAGCCAUUGCUCACGGUCCUGGAAACACAGAGGUUAACGCAUCAAUGAUAUUCUUGUUCCCCAGUGAAAGUCCACCGGUGAUUGGCAGAUUGAACCCAGGGCUUUUGCACGUAGCAGGCAAGCACCUUGCUACCAAGUUAUAUCCUAGCCCUUUGCCAGUAGCAUUUGUCUCCCUGUGCCCACUAGUCUAGGUCCUCUUGUUCAAGACCUCUGCUAGUACGUGCUGCACUAACUCCCAGUACCCUGGAGGCUGGGGUGGCCAUAGGUCCACUUUGAGAUACUCUUGUGAGAGAAUCGCCAGGCUGCAAGGGGCUGAUUGAUUAUGGACUGGUGCAACUGCCCUGACCAGGGGAGACAGGCUGUGGUUCCACAACAGAAAGUCUAGAACAUAGAUGAUGACCUGCAGCUCUAGUCCCAAUGAUUAACAUCAGUGGAAAGAUUCUACUGCCCAAUCCACACUGGACCGCCGAGGGCCCAGACCCUUCGGGAAUGAAGGCUUAGGUCACCCACCAGGUAAAGGGCCACAAUCAGCCAAGGCACAAGCUGAAGGAAAGAGACAUGCAGGAAGAUGGUUAUAAAUACCACUCAGACCAUGUGACCGGUUGCAGCUUUGAGCCUGUGAGGGCUAUGGAAUCCUUCCCUCUGCUGUGAGCAAAUAGGACGGAAUGAAUGACUCUUCCUUCCCCUCCUCUAGACCGCUGCACCUAGUGUUUAUGAGUUCCUAGAUGCUACCUUUCUCUCUCAGGAUUUACCGUUCCAGCUGCAGCUCAGCCAGAAGGGGGAUGGGUACCAUCCUGCCCUCUCUGUGGGGGUGGGGAUGCACACCUGGCUGUGCAGUCCCAGCUGUCUGUUAGGUGAAAGUGGAACUUUGCUUUGUUUUAUCCAGAGGUUUCACCAAAGGGUUCCGUUUAUGUAAGAAACCCAGAAGAGCCAGGUCCUUAGAGAAGGAAGUGGCUUCCUGAAGCUAGGGAGGGAAUAAAGCGGGGAGUAGGUGCUAAUGGUGGUAGGGAGAUUGGGGCCUGUGUGCUGGGAAUAUCCUAACAUCACAUGAUGGUGAUUGUCUAGUGUAGUUACCGAAAAGGACGGAGCUGUUAUGUUUGCUAAGAGCGAAUCAGAUCCCAUGUCAAUUACAUGCAAUGAAGUGUUUUCUUUACAUAGAGAAGUAUCUGUGGAUGCCGGGGGAGAUGGGGUCUGCCUUUUACCACCUUCCCUGAGCUGAAAGUGGCAGCCCUGGGUGUGGAGGUGAAGGGGCGACCAUCUUCUUUAGGUCUCACAUUUGUCUUGGCCUGCCCACCUAGAACCCGUCCCUGAAGUCUUGGGUACUGGCCUCCUCCUGUGCUAUUCGUAGGGCAGAGCUGUGCAAUUGUCUGCCGCAGGUUAAUCCAGAUUUCCUGGGAGCCCAGCAUCAUGGGGGACCUCCUGUUUCCCACUUCUCAUCCCCUGGAACCCCGACUGGUCGCUGUGCACUGUGCCCAGUCAUGACAUAUUCCAUGAGCUCCUGGCCCCCAAGUCUAGCAGGGCUCUCUGUCUUGGCCCUAACUCCUCCCCAUGAAGUGCCUGGGUGGCGUCUGUCCCCAGCUCUGGCUACUAGAAUGUGACCAUUCUCUUUCUUCUUCUUGCUCUGUUCUUGCAGAAAUAAGGAAAAUCCUCAAGCUGCCUUUUCUCCUCUCCUUGCUUCUUCGAUAGCAAUACCAGCUCCAUGGACCCUAGUCUCAUGCUCCCCAUGCUCCCUUCCCGUCCUCAUCCUCUCCCAUCUCAUCUGCAGACUACAGCAGAAGCCUGAGGUCAGCAGAGACCCAAUCCAGUCCUAGCAGCCUCUACAGACACGCCUGUGUACAACCUGCACACACUGUGGUAAAGUGUACAACACUGCACUGUCUAAAUGACAGCUUGGCGGUGUUCACCUCCUGCUUGCAUCUUCCCAAACAGAAGCUCUUCCCCCCCGAAACACGGACUCUCUGUCCCUCCUCAGCACCCAUCAUUCCACCCUAUUUUCUGCUUCUGUGGAUCUGAGGUCUCCAGGGACCUCAGGAGAGGGAUCCUACAUCAUGUCUCUGUGGUAGACUUCUUUCCCUGAGCAGUGUCUGGAAUAUUCUGUGCUCCACACCUUCCCCCUUGCCUGUGUGGGCCAUCAUUUCUGCUCACCUUCCCCCAGAAAUCUUCUUCCACACUUACUGGUCCGUCCCUCCCUCACCUAAUCUAUCUGUGUAACAGCUAGUAUGACCAUUUUGAGCUGGCAUUAGUAGCCAGCAUGGUGAGCUUGCCCAGACUGUGUUUCUAUCCCCCAAUUAGUACUGUAGAUCCUGCCUCUCAGGGAUCUGAAGAAAAGCCUGCAACCAACCAAAUACUAAAGACUGUGUUGGUGUGGGUGUGUGUUCAUUCAUAUAUCCAUGCCUUCAUGUUCAUGUGCACACAUGUGUAAGCGUUUCUGCACUUCACACAUGUGUAUGUGCAUGUGUAUGUGUGUCGGAAUUUAUAAAUAUAUGCGUGCUUUUAUACAUGUAUGCAUUUCUGCCUGAUUUCAUGUGUAUGUGCCCAAGCACAUGUAUAUUUAUAACUGCAAACCUGUCUGCGUGUUUGAAGGGUGUGUGUGUGUGUGUGUGUGUGUGUGGCACACACACAUCUUUUUACAUGUGUGUAUACAUGUGGAUAGGUGGGGCCCAUGUGUGUGCACUGUACUGUCCUUGUUUUGCACUGCACUGUGGCUGAUGUGCACGUGGAUGUACAUGCAUGUACACGAUGAUGAAUGGCCAGAGGCAAUGACAGGGGCCUGUAGUUGGAGGAAGUGUCACUACUCCCCACCCCGAAGCCCCACCAGUGGCCUUGUAGUAGUCAUUGCUGACCCUUUCACCAAAGGAAUGUGUAGCAGCAGCCAUGAUGGCUGGGGAGAGCAGGGCAAACUAGAAACUCCAUAUGUCAGCAGGCAGAGGGUCCUGAUCGAAUAAGAGGCAUAGCCCACAAGUUAGCCCCUAGCCUUGCCUCCUUCACCUGGCCACUCUCAUCUUAGAAUCACCCCAUGGACAGAUGAGACCUCUGAAGGUUUCAUUGUUUUAGUCUAUGAAAUAAAACCGAGGCUAGACAGAAUGACCGAGAGACUCAUGACACAUUUGUUACGAUGCCUAAGCAUGAAAGUCACAUGCAUGCAACAGAGACGUGAAGGAUGUAGACAGUUCAUCUUGGUCUGCUUCCUGAAGCUAUAACAAGAUUCCAAGGGCGGGUAUUUUAUAAUCGAAAGGGGUUCGUUUAGAUCACUGUUGCACUUGUAGAAACACAGGGUUUCCUUCAGCUGCCUUUCCGUUUCUUCUUCUCUCUCCUUUAAGGAUAGAAUCAGCUCCAGUGGGUUUAAAUGUCAUGGAAUGCCGAGGGGUCUCCAGUUUUCCACUGGAAUUUCAGUGGCUGCCUCCUAUUUGCUCAGUCAACCCCUGGAUGACCAGUGUGUCCUGGCGGUGUCUCAUCAGGUAUGCAGGAGAGCACCCACAGUGAGAUAGGAUGCCGGACGACUCAGGACAAGCUGCCUCCCUUCACAACCACAUACGCAAGCCGAGAUUGAGACUGGCAUUAAUGCUUCUGAGGUGGGUGCCUCCAGGAACAGAGCCACCUCUGCAAGGCCUCAGCCCUGCCAUUCUGGGGACUCAACUUCCAGAACACAGACUUGUGGGGACACACUCAGAUCACCUUCAAGCCAGAACACAUUGGGAGCAAGUCCAAGCUAAGGAAUCUGGGGAUGGGGCACAUUCCAUUACAGGGUGUGUCAAAUGCAGAUGAGUCCCUGGGUAGCAGUCACCUGUGUUCACUUCUGUCUAGGACAAGUGUCAAACCCUGUCUUGACCCAUUUUUUUCUCACUAUAUCAAAACUUCUGAAGCUGGGGAAAGUGUGAAGAAAAGAGAUUUGUAUAGGUUCAAAGCAUGAUAGCUGUCUCAGCUUGGCUUUGGUGAUGAACUCGUGAUGAUGGUGUCACCAUGGCUGUAGGUGUAAGAGAGUGGGGAGGGGUCAGAGUUGCUUUGUUGUGUGUAAGCAAGUACGCACACGUUGGUGUGUGUUAGGUGCCUGUUUGUGCGAUUGCCUGUAGAGGUCAGAGGUCAGUCUCUGCUGCCAUUCCUCAGGAGCCAGUCACCUUGUGUUUUGAGUCAGGGUGCCUUACUGCAACCCAGAAGUUGAAGAUAAGACCAGAUUGUCUGGCCAGCGAGCCCCAGGGCUCCACCUGUCUCCCCAGCUCUGGGAUUACAAGCACAGAACACCGUGCCUGGUUUCCUAUGUGGCCAUCAGAUACAGAACUCAGGUCUGCAUGCUUGUGGGACAAGCACUUUACCUGAUCUGGCUUAUCUUAGUUUUUUUGUUGUUUUUGUUUUUGCUUUUGCUUUUUUUGUUUGUUUGUUUUUGCACCAGUCCUCUUUGGUAACCAACUGGGGCCCUUGCAUACUAUUUCAUCUAUUUAAUCUCUCCCUAGAAUGUUGCCUCCAGAAACCUGGUCUCUCACUUACUAUUGUUGACUCUUUUUUUUUUCCUUAGUUUUUCGAGGCAGGGUAUCUCUGUAGCUUUUGGAUCUUGUCCUGGAACUAGCUCUUGUAAACCAGGCUGGCCUCAAACUCAGAGAUUCACCUGCCUCUGCCUCCUGAAUGCUGGAAUUAAAGGCAUGUGCCACCGCUGCCAGGCUACUACUACUACUGACUCUUAAAGGACCCAGGACCUCUGACAGAGCCACACUGAAGACCAAACCUCUAACACAGGAAGCUUGGGGGUGAUUCAAGCCAUACCCAAGCCACAGGACCCCAACCCAUUCCUCCUAUGAAAGAGUCUUAUUGCGGAUCAUUGAGUUAGUGGAGCUGCUGAAGGUCAAGGUUCAUCUGACGUCAAGGUUUGAGAGACUUCUGAGGCCUCUCCCUCCAUUUUAACUGUUAACAGUUUUAUGGUGACCCGUAUCCAGACCACAUAUCCAUGUGGGGACCAGUAUUCUGCCAGUGUCUCAAAGCCCUCCCCUGGGACCUGCAGAACACGCUGUCUCUGUCUUUGUCUUUCCCUUACCUCUCUCACUCUCUCCCCUCCUCUGUCCCUGCUCUUUUCUCCUCCUUCCCCCAUCUCUGUCUCUCUCCU